rnacentral:rRNA from 1 species
UACGGGGGGGGCAAGCGUUGUUCGGAAUUACUGGGCGUAAAGCGCGCGUAGGCGGUUUGUUAAGUCAGCUGUGAAAGCCCCGGGCUCAACCUGGGAACUGCAGUUGAUACUGGCCGACUGGAGUACGAGAGAGGGAGGUAGAAUUCCUGGUGUAGCGGUGAAAUGCGCAGAUAUCAGGAGGAACACCGAUGGCGAAGGCAGGUCUCUGGGCCAAUAUUGACGCUGAGGAGCGAAAGCCAGGGGAGCAAACGGG